rnacentral:rRNA from 1 species
CGUGGGUGACCUGCCUUCGAGUGGGGGAUAACGGUUCCGAAAGGGACGCUAAUACCGCAUGACAUCCGGCUGUUGAAGAAGCCGAGAUCAAAGCCUGGGAUCGCAAGACCAGGCGCUUGAAGAGGGGCCCGCGUCCGAUUAGCUAGUUGGUGGGGUAACGGCUCACCAAGGCAACGAUCGGUAGCCGGCCUGAGAGGGCGGACGGCCACACUGGGACUGAGACACGGCCCAG